rnacentral:rRNA from 1 species
CCUACGGGUGGCUGCAGUGAGGAAUAUUGGUCAAUGGGCGCUAGCCUGAACCAGCCAAGUAGCGUGAAGGAUGACUGCCCUAUGGGUUGUAAACUUCUUUUAUAUGGGAAUAAAGUGCAGUAUGUAUACUGCUUUGCAUGUACCUUAUGAAUAAGGUUCGGUUAACUCCGUGCAAGCAGUCGGGGUAAUACGGAGGAUCCGAGCGUUAUCCGGAUUUCUUGGGUUUAAAGGGAGCGUAGGCGGGUUGUGAAGUCAGUUGUUAAAGUCUGCGGCUCAACCGUAAAAUUGCAGUUGAUACUGGCAUCCUUGAGUGCAGUAGAGGUAGGCGGAAUGCGUGGUGUAGCGGUGAAAUGCUUAGAUAUCACGAAGAACUCCGAUUGCGAAGGCAGCCUGCUGGACUGUAACUGACGCUGAUGCUCGAAAGUGUGGGUAUCAAACAGGAUUAGAUACCCAUGUAGUC